rnacentral:rRNA from 1 species
UUGCACAGGCUGUUGCUGGCCCUCAAGGGUAUGUGCACGCUUGUCAUCUUUAUCUCUCCAACUGUGCACAUAUUGUAGACCUGGAGUCCCUGUUGAUUCAUUUCGAGUUGGGACUGCUGUGCUUUGUACUUCAGAGUCAGCUUUGCCUUUUUCAUACCCAGGUCUAUGUCAUUUUCACAACCUCUUGAAUGUGUUUAGAAUGUUGAAUCAGGUCUUUUUGUACCUAUAAAGUUAAAUAUACAACUUUCAGCAACGGAUCUCUUGGCUCUCGCAUCGAUGAAGAACGCAGCGAAAUGCGAUAAGUAAUGUGAAUUGCAGAAUUCAGUGAAUCAUCGAAUCUUUGAACGCAUCUUGCGCUCCUUGGUACUCCGAGGAGCAUGCCUGUUUGAGUGUCAUUUAAAUUCUCAACCACAUCAAUUUAUUUGGUGAGGCUUGGAUGUGGGGGUSUUUUUGCGGGCUUCUGUAAAUUUGAAGUCGGCUCCCCUAAAAUGCAUUAGUGGUAUCUGAGCAGAAGAAACUACUACAGGUGUGAUAAUUAUCUACGCCUCAGGAUYCUGCACAAUCAGAUUGUGCUGCUUCUAACGAGUGGAGAUUCCUUUUGGGGGACCACAUUUGUUGAAUUUGACCUCAAAUCAGGUAGGACUACCCGCUGAACUUAAGCAUAUCA